rnacentral:rRNA from 1 species
UACGAAGGGGGCUAGCGUUACUCGGAUUGACUGGGCGUAAAGGGCGCGUAGGCGGUUCGUACAGUCAGACGUGAAAUUCCUGGGCUCAACCUGGGGGCUGCGUUUGAUACGUGCGGGCUUGAGUUCGGAAGAGGGUCGUGGAAUUCCCAGUGUAGAGGUGAAAUUCGUAGAUAUUGGGAAGAACACCGGUGGCGAAGGCGGCCUGCUGGGCAGUAGCUGACGCUGAUGCGCGACAGCGUGGGGAGCAAACAGG